rnacentral:rRNA from 1 species
UUAGGAAUCUUGCGCAAUGGGCGAAAGCCUGACGCAGCCAUGCCGCGUGAAUGAUGAAGGUCUUAGGAUUGUAAAAUUCUUUCAGCGGGGAAGAUAAUGACGGUACCCGCAGAAGAAGCUCCGGCUAACUUCGUGCCAGCAGCCGCGGUAAUACGAAGGGGGCUAGCGUUGCUCGGAAUUACUGGGCGUAAAGGGCGCGUAGGCGGACAGUUUAGUCGGGGGUGAAAUCCCAGGGCUCAACCCUGGAACUGCCUUCGAUACUGGCUGUCUUGAGUUCGGGAGAGGUGAGUGGAAUGCCGAGUGUAGAGGUGAAAUUCGUAGAUAUUCGGCGGAACACCAGUGGCGAAGGCGACUCACUGGCCCGAUACUGACGCUGAUGCGCGAAAGCGUGGGGAGCAAACAGGAUUAGAUACCCUGGUAGUCCACGCUGUAAACGAUGAGUGCUAGUUGUCGGCAUGCAUGCAUGUCGGUGACGCAGCUAACGCAUUAAGCACUCCGCCUGGGGAGUACGGUCGCAAGAUUA